rnacentral:rRNA from 1 species
GACGAACGCUGGCGGCGUGCCUAAUACAUGCAAGUCGAACGCAGGGGGGACGGGUGAGUAACACGUGGGUAACCUCCCAUCAGAGGGGAUAACACUUGGAAACAGGUGCUAAACCGAUACUGAUGGAUGGACCCGCGGUGCAUUAGCUAGUUGGUGAGGUAACGGCUCACCAAGGCCACGAUGCAUAGCCGGUCGGAGAGUGUGAUCGGCCACACUGGGACUGAGACAGGGCCCAGACUCCUACGGGAGGAAGCAGUAGGGAAUUUUUGACAAUGGACGAAAGUCUGACCGAGCAACUCCGCGUGAGUGAAGAAGGUGUUCGGAUCGUAAAACUCUGUUGUUCGAGAAGCGGUAUCUAACCAGAAAGCAACGGCUAACUACGUGCCAGCAGCCGCGGUAAUAC